AAAAAGGGCUUCUGCUGUGUGUAGCACAGGAGGGGUGGUGUUUACCACUCCUCCUGCGGAAUCGCCAUCAAGAGAUUUCGGAAGCACAAUUUUUAUAACUGGGGCUGCUGGUGAUCACUCGUCCUGGCGCCCCG
ensembl:snRNA